rnacentral:misc_RNA from 1 species
AACACCUCAAAUCCCUCUACUUGUUGGAGGUAUUUGGACUUGAGCAAUCCCAACUUUUCGAAAGAGAAGGCGGGUUGCUUGAAAUGCAGGUGCAGCUAGAUUUUUCUUCUGAGCUAUAAGCAUACUUAUUUAAUCCCGUAAAACGGAUUAUUACUUUUGCUGCAGCUAACAUAAAGGUUGAAGAGUCGCGAUGGCUGACUGAUGCAGGAUUAACAUUUCGCGUAAGCGAUUUGUAA